UUGCUUCAGAAGCAGAUACACUAAAACUGGAAUGAUACAGGGAAGAUCAGCAUGCCCCCACACAAGGCUGUCAUCCAUAUUCGAGAAGUGGUCUGUGAAAAA
rnacentral:snRNA from 1 species